UGGCCAGUUGGUGUUAUUGCAAAGUUUACGGCUACAGCAAUGUGUCAUGAUUGUCAUCCGACAAAAAGGGUUACAGCCAGUGAAUGUUAUGACUGCAUGAACUAUCAUGGUCUGCAAGCAUCAUGUAACCUGGACAUCCAACUAGCCAAGAAACAAUGCAGUGGUGGAUCCAGAAUUUGUUAAAUGCAUGAAAGACAAAAGACUCACCAUCAGGAUUGUGAAGUGCACAGGUAUCCUGGGAGUUUGGUUGACCAUUAACACAAAUGGCAUUACUGUAGGCAUCUGAGGAGAAAAAGUUCCCUAAUUAGUGAAGAAGAACUGGGAAGAUUAAUACCAGCAAUUCCUCGUAACGGCAUGUCAAGGGCAAUCCUUUGUGGGCCUUCAACCUUGGAGGAAACAACAUCUUCAUGAUUCAUGGUUCCAUGGAGUCCUGGGUAAAUUAAACAUAAGUUGUGUUCUGUUUAUAAAUGGGAUUUAAAUGAAGCGUUUAAAGUUAACUCUAAAUUUUCAUCACUGUUGGCAAUCUAGAUAUGUUCUGAUUUGCCCACAUGUUGCCUAAAAGGUCUCUAUGUAGUGAUUAUAUGAUUUUAUAUUGUUGAAUUGUCACAUAAUUUAGACUGAGUAAUGCAAUUACAUGUAAUAUUUGUUGGAUGGUUAUUCUUAUGUUCAACAUUGUAGGUUAUACCUGACACUGUUUGCACUGACUGACAAGCUGUCUCUUCCUGUUCAUCUUCCAUGCGCUGAUCUUUAUUCAUCUGGAGGUUGUCCUCAAGACAUAGUUCAAAAAGUCCUGGAGAUUAAUAAACAAGACGUGAAAUACUAGAUGAAAAUAUAUAUGCACAUUUAGUAUCCACCAUUUUGUUUUUGUAAUUGGACAACAUUUUUGUAUUCAUAGCUAUUGUUUUUAUCAUUUUGUUUUAAAUUAUUUUUAUUUCAAUUUGUUAAAUUCAGUUUUAGUUGAAGGUUGAAUUUGUGCUUACUUUCAUUUCUAAUCACUUUUGGCUUCUUCCCACUAAAUGCCUUCAGUUUCAACAGUGGCAAUUGAAUGUCCCCCUUUCCAAAUGCAGCUACACAUUUUGCCCAUGAAUUCUCCAGGAGUUUGGUAGUGUCAGCAAAGGUGUCGGUACGGAAAUGUUGAGAUGAAGUAUUAAGUUGAUAAGGACCACCAUGAUUAGGACUGUCGUGAAAAACGAUCUCAUCUCCAUCCAAAUGCCACCAGAUGUUUUCUCCUUCUAGCAGGAAAUCGGCGAUUCUCUCACAGUGUGUUUGAAACAGAUAUGGUCUUGCCCUUAGCAUCUCAACUGGAAAUCUAGUGUUUUCAGCUGCAGGAAGUAAACGAGCCUGUUGUGUUAUCGUUGAUUCCUGUUUCUUGUAGCUAGAGAAUCUGUUUUGUUGUUGUUGGGCAUUGAACCUCACAAUGGCAUUGUCUAUUAUUCUCCCACAUUGUCGGUUGGAGGUGUUGAGAGAAAUUCUUCUCAUGUCUCCGAAGGAGCGUUCUUGCUGUUCUGGGAUGAGAGAUCUCAGGCAAAAGAUUCGGAAUAUCUGAGGAGCAUG